rnacentral:ncRNA from 1 species
UGUUAGAGCAUUGAGAGGACCUUUCCCUAGUACGAGAGGACCGGAAAGGAUGCACCUCUAGUGUACCAGUUAUCGUGACCACGGUAAACGCUGGGUAGCCAAGUGCGGAGCGGAUCACUGCUGAAAGCAUCUAAGUAGUAAGCUCACCCCAAGAUGAGUGCUCUCCUAUUCCGACUUCCCCAGAGCCUCCGGUAGCACAGCCGAGACAUCGACGGGUUCUCUGCCCCUGCGGGGAUGGAGCGACAGAAGUUUUUUUGAGAAUUCAAGAGAAGGUCACGGCGAGACGAGCCGUUUAUCAUUACGAUAGGUGUCAAGUGGAAGUGCAGNCGUUUAUCAUUACGACAGGUGUCAAGUGAAAGUGCAGUGAUGUGUGCAGCUGAGGCAUCCUAACAGACC